rnacentral:rRNA from 1 species
CUGCUCAAUGAAAUUUAAAUAGCUGCAGUAUAUUAACUGUACAAAGGUAGCAUAAUAAUUAGAUUUUUAAUUUAAAUCUAGAAUGAAAGAUGUAAUGAAAUUGAAACUGUCUCAAAUUUUAAAUUUAAAUUUUUUAUUUAAAUAAAAAAACUUAACUAAAUUUUAAAGACGAGAAGACCCUUUAGAAUUUUUUUAAUUUUAUAUCUUAUUUGUUAUAAUUAUUAUUAAGUAGUUUUUUAUGAUUUGGAUGGGGCAAUUUUUUAUUUGGGCAAUUUUUAAAAUUUCAUUAAAUUUUGAAUUUAAGAUCUUUAUUUUAGAGGCAAAAUUGAUUGCCUUAGGGAUAACAGCGUAAUUUUUUUUAAAAGUUCAUAUAAUAAAAAAAGUUUAUGACCUCGAUGUUGAAUUAAGAU